AAUGCACCAUUGUUCAGGCUGAUGAGCGAACCUGACUAGAGUUACCUGCUGAGUAAUUACUUUCAGGUUUUAUAGAUACCCCCGUCUGUUCCUCUUGAUCAAUGCCCUUGCAAUCCAUGCACGAGACUGAACAGAGCCUGCUUGAUAAUCAGCAGAGACCCAUCCACGUUGAUUCAGUGUAGUGUACUAAGGCUUGGACAUCAAAGUGCAUCACACAUCUGUUACUUCUCAAUCUCGUGUAACUCGAUACCACUCGACUGUCUAAAAAUUUAGCGCGGACGCAUAAAGGGUCAGUGAACUACUAGUAGGCUAGAGUCUGGUUUGUUUUCAAAAUUAACCACACGAAUCGCCCCCUACAUCUAAGAAUGAUCAUGCACCACCACCCACCAAACUAAGAAUUGAGAGCUAUCUGUCAAUCCUUAUUGUGUCCUUCCGUCAGUUUCCUUCAAGUUUCAGCUCCUCAGCCAUACUUUCCCCGGAACCCGAAAACUUUGGUUUUCUGGAAGUUGCCAGCAGAAUCGAUGAAGCAUUAUCUGCGGAUCGUUUAUGACCAGAACUACGACGGUAUCUGAUCGUCUUCAAACCUCUGACAUUCGUUCUUGACUAAUGAAAACAUAACUUGCGAUUGUUCGGAGUUAUUCGUCUUACGAUGAUCCAGGAAUUGUAACUCUAACACCGCAAUACUGUCUUAAUCAUUACCUCAUGUUCUGAAAACCUCAAAAGAGCUCCGCAUUGUUAUUGUCCAUCAUUCAUAAGGCCUCCCAUCACUUUUUACAUAUGAUCACUUGAUCAGCAGUAGUUGUUGUAGGGACUAGCUAUUAUUGUCUUUGUCUUUCGGCUUAUUUUUUUUCCCCUUUAAGUCACUUGAAGUCUGGGUCUGAGUUUUCAUACAUAUUUUACUAUCCAUCAAAACUGUGAAAUGGAUUUAUAAAGUUCAGAUCACCAGCAGCUGUGAAAAAUACAAUUUUGAGCUUUUGUAGUAAUACAACGUCUGAUAAAAACUUUUCAUUCUGAAUUUCUCCUCAUGUUAGUUUCUAGAGAGGAGAAAAGACCUGUUUACCAAUGUCCUCACGUCCAAGAAAUCCCUUAAACAUUUGAAUAAGGUCUCCCCUGAUCUUCCAUCCCUUCAAGGAGUGGAGUCUUAAGCACUUAAGCUAAGUCUCUUUCGGCGUAAGACAUAUCUUAGAAAAGAAGUACACCGCGUCUCAUAAUGCAGAGAUUAUAAUUAUCUGUCUCAGUCCACCUUGUAUACCGCAACUGGGGUAGCUUUGACAAAAUUUUGUGAAAGGUGGAAACUUGAGAGAAAUGCAUGUGCGCAUGUAGUGAACUUUGGGUUUGGGCUCUACCCACCCACUCCCUCCCAAAGAAAAAAAAUUGUUUUGAGGAUGGCGACGUCGCUAAUAGACACAGAAACACUAGUCAGUGUAUCCUUCGCCUGGGCCUGAUCACCUGCUACUUAGCCUUUGAUCCGUGAUCACAGGGAGGCAGCACGUUUGACACCGCGAGAGGUGAGGGCAACACGUAGCUCGUGCAACCACUGCUACGUCACGACCUGGCGAUCACGUCUGCUCCUGAGGUCAGCUUUGAGAAGAGACUUUGAGGGCUCCGGCCUGACAUUCUCGUAAUCUCCCCAUGGGCCAGGAAAAAGGAAGAAAACUUUCUUUGCUUUUGACAACUAAACUCGAAAGUAUGACAAAAACAUCUUUUCGGGAGAAGUCAUCGUGAAGGCGGUCCAGUGGGCAAUAUACAUAUUGCUUUUGUUCUCCAUUUUGUAUGAAAUAUGACGUGUUGAUUAGUCAGAAUAAAAAAACCUGAAAAGACAUCAAUCAAUAGCUCACGUUAGCUUAGGGACUGGAGUAUUUUUUUUUUCAAACACCUUGCUGGUGCGUCCAUCUGGCCGUCCAUUACUCCUGGGAUACUGAAACCGACAGGUUUUUUGUCUUUGUGGGUGAAUGUCAGCGGUCAGUCGGUGGCCCAGCAGUGUUUACUUGAGCAGCUCCGGAACGUCAACAACAAUAACAUCAACCAGCAACAGCCGACCACAGCACAAGAAGCCACACUGAAUGCCUUUCACUCCAUCUGUCAAAAUUUUCAGCAGUACAUUCAGUGUUUCCGGGACAGACUUCCGAAUUCUAAUGACCCUCCGGACGCCUUCCUGUCCUUGUUGUUUGACCCGCUCGCCAUGGACGUUGCCUAUAGAGGGCUGUGUCAAGACAUCAACGUUAUUGAGCUGAACAUUCAAUGCUUGCUAAGCACACCACAGGUGCGCCAGUGCUACAACACCUUCAACCAAGGUGUUCUGCAAGUGGUUAAUCUUCAAACCCAAGGCCAACUACCCCGUAUCACAUUACAGAACAUUGCUUGCAAUGUGUCAGUGACUCGGUACCAGUGUGAGACGGCUGUGUACCAAUUCUGCAGCCAGGCAGCAGGACAGGUUAUGCAGGACUUCUUCUUUGCUGGAAUACCCAGAGAAUGCAGAGAUUCUGCGGGUGUCACCUCUAGAUAUGUACAGCUGUGGAGUGCUGCAGUCAGCAUCCAUAAUUCAGUCUUAGUGUAUCUGAUCCCCUUGACUUUUCUUCUACUGACAAUCCAUUUCUUGUAAAAUAAACUGAAUGCUAGUGAUAAAAUUCUAUUUUAGUGACAUCUUGAUGAACUAGUUGGUAAGUUGACUAAAGAAACAGUGUUUUUAUGUAAUGGUCUUGUGUUUAAUGUGUGCUUCUUUCAGUAUUUUUGUUGUUGUCAGAUAUAUGGCUUUAAAGUGAGUACAUUUCAUAAUAGUAAAUGUAUAUAGUCACUGCUGCAGAAGCAGAAUCUUAAGGUGGAAACUGUAUAUUUCUAAUUAUAAAGAAAUCGAUUAAAUACAAACACAAUUUGCCAAGAAAACUUCCAAAUACAUUAUCUCCCCCUUCCCCUUAUUUCUGGGUAUUAUUUCUGAACUGUUAAUCUAUAUUUUCAUGGUGUGUUACUCCAAAAACCUAAAGGGAGUAAUUAUUCUUAAGUAUUAGUAGGUGAAUGCCUAUAAUGUACUCCAUACAUUCAAAACUGUUAACAUGGGAACAUUUUUUCCUAUUGAAAAUAAGUAGUUGCAUACCUAUUCACAUUUGAUCUUUUCAUUCAUAUAUCAGAAAUGGUGCACACUGCCUGCUGUCUCUUGAAGCUACCAUUAUCAUUUUUGUAAUAAAUAUUUUCCAUUUGUCAUGUAUGACUACUCCUAUGUAGGUCUUAUAGAAACAAGACUACUUGCUGUGCAUUAUAGUAUUAGUACUAAAGGUAUUUGUAUGCACAAGCUUAUUCUCUUUCACACUCUUACAUAUUUUUUUAAAUAAUUUGCUAAUCUUCAAUUUAUAUGUGUAACACACAAACAAAAAGCUUUAUGUGAAACAAAUACUUCUAUACCGUUAUACAACUUUAAUGAAACAUGAAGUUUUUUAAAAAUAAAAAAAUCUGAAAACUGCUGUUUAUGGCCUUCACAAGAGAUUCUUCUGAAUAUUAUAUAAUCACUGUGUAAUGAAUUAUACUGAUAUCUGUAAUUGAAGGAUAGACAGCACAUAACAAUGUCCACUUUAUAUUCAAACAGUCAUUCCCAGAUCACACAGAACCAGUUCCUUUGUCACAAUUUUGAGGUUUUUGUUUUUGAAGAAUUAUGCCAACCUGUGAAAUUUUUUCAUAUUUUGCAAACGAUGAUAGAGAAGGCUAAUAAAAAACUAAAUGUAAGAUUGGUUUUCAAAAAUACUAUUGAAAUAUUCUCACUUUUAAAGUAAACAGCAUAUGCUAUAAUGCAUUUACCAGUGAAAGAUUACAAAUAUCUGAAAAUUAGAAAAAAAAAAAA